UUUUCUUUCUGGGAACAUGGGUCAAAGGCUAGAAAUUUUCUUAGGCUGGUUUUCAUAUGCUUGUGCAUCGCAAUGGUUGUCUGUUAUAUACCACGUUUAUGAGUUAUGAUCAACUAGUAAGGAUCUAACGCUUGACUAAGUGUCCUAUAAUCUUAUUUAUUCCAUCACUUGACUUUUUGUAUGAUUUGCAUUUUUUUGCUAUGAUGUUAUAUAUG
rnacentral:lncRNA from 1 species